rnacentral:rRNA from 1 species
GAUGAACGCUGGCGGCGCGCCUAACACAUGCAAGUCGAACGGCACCCCUCUCCGGAGGGAAGCGAGUGGCGAACGGCUGAGUAACACGUGGAGAACCUGCCCCCUCCCCCGGAAUAGCCGCCCGAAAGGACGGGUAAUACCGGAUACCCCGGGGUGCCGCAUGGCACCCCGGCUAAAGCCCCGACGGGAGGGGAUGGCUCCGCGGCCCAUCAGGUAGACGGCGGGGUGACGGCCCACCGUGCCGACAACGGGUAGCCGGGUUGAGAGACCGACCGGCCAGAUUGGGACUGAGACACGGCCCAGACUCCUACGGGAGGCAGCAGUGGGGAAUCUUGCGCAAUGGGGGGAACCCUGACGCAGCGACGCCGCGUGCGGGACGGAGGCCUUCGGGUCGUAAACCGCUUUCAGCAGGGAAGAGUCAAGACUGUACCUGCAGAAGAAGCCCCGGCUAACUACGUGCCAGCAGCCGCGGUAAUACGUAGGGGGCGAGCGUUAUCCGGAUUCAUUGGGCGUAAGCGCGCGUAGGCGGCCCGGCAGGCCGGGGGUCGAAGCGGGGGGCUCAACCCCCCGAAGCCCCCGGAACCUCCGCGGCUUGGGUCCGGUAGGGGAGGGUGGAACACCCGGUGUAGCGGUGGAAUGCGCAGAUAUCGGGUGGAACACCGGUGGCGAAGGCGGCCCUCUGGGCCGAGACCGACGCUGAGGCGCGAAAGCUGGGGGAGCGAACAGGAUUAGAUACCCUGGUAGUCCCAGCCGUAAACGAUGGACGCUAGGUGUGGGGGGACGAUCCCCCCGUGCCGCAGCCAACGCAUUAAGCGUCCCGCCUGGGAGUACGGCCGCAAGGCUAAAACUCAAAGGAAUUGACGGGGGCCCGCACAAGCAGCGGAGCAUGUGGCUUAAUUCGAAGCAACGCGAAGAACCUUACCAGGGCUUGACAUAUGGGUGAAGCGGGGGAGACCCCGUGGCCGAGAGGAGCCCAUACAGGUGGUGCAUGGCUGUCGUCAGCUCGUGUCGUGAGAUGUUGGGUUAAGUCCCGCAACGAGCGCAACCCCCGCCGCGUGUUGCCAUCGGGUGAUGCCGGGAACCCACGCGGGACCGCCGCCGUCAAGGCGGAGGAGGGCGGGGACGACGUCAAGUCAUCAUGCCCCUUAUGCCCUGGGCUGCACACGUGCUACAAUGGCCGGUACAGAGGGAUGCCACCCCGCGAGGGGGAGCGGAUCCCGGAAAGCCGGCCCCAGUUCGGAUUGGGGGCUGCAACCCGCCCCCAUGAAGUCGGAGUUGCUAGUAAUCGCGGAUCAGCAUGCCGCGGUGAAUGCGUUCCCGGGCCU